GGGGUUAUAGAUCAGUGGUAGAGCAUUCGACUGCAGAUUGACAGGUCCCCGGUUCAAGCCCGGGUGCCCUCU